UUUAUUACUAUUCUGUGUCUUAUUUUUAACUUUAGAAAUGUAGCACAGUUGACAUAGUGCUAAUAUACGAUCCAUUUAUCAAAUGCUUAUCAUCUAUGCAGCUGCUUCAAACAGGUUUCAUUUUUUGCACAUAGUUUAACUGCAUUUUAUUUCUGAAUUGUAGAUAUAACAUUUCCAUGGCUUUGAUUAAGUUGAUGAGUGAGGAUGAUAAGUUGGAGUUGAGUAGAGGAUUACUGGUUUAAGCAGAAUGCUGACAAACAAUGGUAGAAACAGUGAAGUGCCAAAAGUGAUGGAACAAAAGAAACAGUGGAGCAACCAAAAGCAGCUGAUUAUCCAACUAGGUGAUUUCCACUCUGUACUGAGUUCAAAUCCUGCCAAAUUCAACUUCACCUUCAUCCUUUUAUGCGCCUAAGGUAUAUCCAGAUACACUCCUACUUUACUGCAUGCAUUGUGUUCAUAUGUGUGUAUGUAUGUGUGUUCUGUAAUCUUUGAUCAUAAAUGUAUUAUUUCACUAUAA